AUAUUAUACAUUUUGGUAUUGCUUACUUUUGAAUUAAAAUGAUGUUGCUGAAAAUUAAUAUUUUUAUUUGCAGAUGUGAUUACUUCAGAAUGGGCUGGAAGGAGUACUGGUACAUGGGCCCCAAAUGUAACCACCUUUGGAACACUCUGGAUUUCAUUUUAGUGGCUACUGUUCCUGCAGGGAUACUGAUUAUCAUAGUGGUUGUAAUAUUUUGCGUUGUCUACUGCAUGAAAACAGAAAAAGCUGGGUAAGUGACUGUGGGUGCACUUAUAAGGAGUUUUAUACUCAAAAUGGAAGUAUAGCAAAAGGAGUCUGGUAUUCUGGUUAAUUUUAAACCUCUGGUUGCCAUACUGCCAAAAUAAUAUUUAUACAAUUUAAAACUAAGUCAAAACAUCUUACCUGAGCACCCAGCACUUACUCAGCAUUUUACCACUGCAUGCAGAACUUCACUCUCAGUCACUGGUUUUUUUUAGGGCUCACCAGGCAAGCUUUAAAGAUUGAUAAGUACAUUUACUACUUAAAUUCAACACUACCAAAUGUGUAUUUCUGAUUUAUUUGCACUUAAGGAUUGGCUUUUUUUCCACAGGUUUAAAAAAAAAAGGAGUAAGACCGCUAACCAUUGACAAAAGGCUUGGUGUUCCUCCCAUUCUUCGGUCUCAGAUAUCAGCAAUCUGAGCUCCUUUUUGCUUUCAACACUUUUUCCCAGUGACACCUCUCCCAAGUACACAGACAAUAUGGGUCUGUUUUCCUUUCACUGAGCCCCAGUAAUGUGUCACUGGUACUUCCUCAGACAUAAGCAAGCUGUAAUAAUACACAGCUCUUGUAAAGCCAUUGGCAUGGGACAUCUAUGCAGCACAAAAAACAUUUUUCAAGACUCUCACUAUUGCUAAUGCUCUAAAUUCCCCUUGUUCCCCUCACCAGGAAGCAGGCAAAGCUUCCAUCCCAUGGAGCACAGCAGAACCCUGCAUUCAGUGCUGACACAGCUGCCAGCCUGGGGCACGGGCACCGUCAGCCACCCGGGGUUGCCUCGGUUGGGCAAAUUCCAAAAGCUGUACUGAAAAGACAAGAUUUUAAUGAUGCCUCAAUCCCAAAUCAAAGGGAGAAUUACAGUCCUGUGUAUGUUCAGCCUCUAAGGAUGGCAGAUCCAGCAUCAGACUAUUUCCCUCACUCCCGAGCCCAGCGAGAUGGGUUUGACUAUCCCAGGAAGGAUUUGCCUUAUCCAGUUUAUCCAGAGGCGAGACAGUACCGGGUAUGUAUCAAUUACAUCCCUCUGCAUAUUAAUUAUAUCAUCUAUCCUGGUACUGAAUACAUAUCAUCACUAAAUUGACUGUGUUUGUCACUAAGUAAAGAUGUGAGCUAACAGAAAGCCUACAGCCACCUUUCACUAUGCAGGUGUUUUCUUCAGGAAUAUUAUAGAGCCUGCUGAAAUGUUUUUAAAUAUUUCCGAAGCUGUUUCAGUUUGUGUGCACACAGUGCUAAUGCUUUCAGUUAUUUGCAUGAAAAUCAUCUCCCAAAGCUCUUGGUGAGUGCACACUCAGAAGCAGCACAUACUAACAAAACAAAUAUAUAUAAAUGUAGUUUGAUUAGAUACAGAUUAUUUUAAUAGCAAGCAUACUGGGGAGUGUGUGUCAUGCUACUGAUUUAAUUCUAAUCUCUUUACAGAGAUACUAAGAACAAGUGCUUCCUAUAUCAGAAAUGUCUUGGAAAGCUGCAUAAUUACUGGGCAAUCCAGGUGCUGAGAGAGCAGCGAGACCCUGGUGGGACACAGAGGAAAUUGCCAUUCUUAUUAGAUAGCACUAAGUUAUUGCAAAGAAAAGGUAUAGAGGAUAAUUGUAAAAGAAAACCUGAUAUAACAUGACAUUAACAUCUGAUUUAUUUGCUAUGUAAUUGGUGACGGCUUCCUGUGAAUCCCUGAUACUGGAGUGCACAAGGGUCUGGCCCUGGUAGUGUGGUACAAACACAGCCAAGGAUUUGGCUUCCCUCUGUCUCAAGAUUUAGCAAAUAUUUACAGGCCCAUUCCCUGUCCCUUGUCUUUUUUGCUUUGUCUUCUUUCUGUGCUGAUCCCAACAGCUGGAACGGUUUGCCUUUAGUACUGCCCUGGCUUGCUUUGUAACUUUUUUGUAAAUGAGGACAAUAAAUGAAGCUAUGGAAGAUUGACCACCUUGCCACUAAGUAACAAAUUAAAGACACUGAAGGCUGGGAUUUAUUUCCCAUUUUCCAAAAAGUCUGAAGCACAUUAUAUUGCGAUUUAUAUAAAAUGAUUUUCAUUAGUAUUAGGUAAUAUGUGAAACUAUAUGACAAAACUAGAAUAUUAAGGAUUUUAGAAAGGAUUUUUUGAUGCUUGUUUUCCCCUCAGUGUAACAAAAACUUCAAAGUGGCCAAAUUUCACUGGGUUUACUUCUACUGCUGCAAACUCUGUCAGAAAUAAAAGUGAGACUCGUUCCCUCUCUUAUCUUCAGAAACACACAGAAAUGGUGUUAGCACAUUUAUUUAGAUUCCAGACUAUCAGUUUAAACCAUUCUGACCUCAGAAAUUCAGAUCCAAAGGUGUCAGAAAACUGUGUCAGUGAAUUGCUUUUUCUGUCACUUCUCAGCCUCGGGUAGUGCCACAAUCUGACAAACAGUGGUGGUUGUUGACCUCAGUCCGGCUCUGUUGUACCAGCCUCAGAGUGACCACAGAAUCUGAGUGUUCAGUUUGAUAUUCCACCACUCCUCUGAAAAGGAGUAGGAGGCACAGAUAAGGCAAUGCUGUCAAUAUCCAUGGUGCUGGCAAGAGCAGAGCUGGCUAAACUGAGUCUCUCUCACUCUUUGCCCAAGUGUUCAGUUUUGUCGUUACCUUUUUCUGGUAUUUUUCCCUUCAUUCCUUACUUGUGUUGGGCAGUUUGAAAUUAUUUUGUCAUAAGAAUGUCUGUCUCUUGCUAGAGCUAGACUAAACGACUGGAAUGUUUUUCUUACUGAAUUUACUUUGGGGUGUGCUGUGUUAUGUGGCUUUACCAUUUAAAACAAAAAAUAAAGGGGAGGAGGGUCAAAUAUAAGUCUCCAAAUUCUCUGCUAAGGAGAUGAAAGUCCAGGAGGAUUAAUCUUUUGAGAAUUACAGAAGCUCCAUGGCUCUCUUGUCCUGAGGAGCCCAGAACUGGACACAGCACUCCAGCUGUUGUCAGUAGGGUCACCUUGGGAUGCCCCAUCUCAGGUUGUCCACCCUGGGUUGCCCAC
rnacentral:lncRNA from 13 species